rnacentral:rRNA from 1 species
UUGGAGGGCAAGUCUGGUGCCAGCAGCCGCGGUAAUUCCAGCUCCAAUAGCGUAUAUUAAAGUUGUUGCAGUUAAAAAGCUCGUAGUUGAAUUUCGGGAUUGACACAUCGGUCGUGCCUUAAGGGGUAUGAACUGGUGUAGUCAAUUUCUCACCUUCUGGAGAACCACGAUGCCCUUAAUUGGGUGUCGCGGGGAACCAGGACCUUUACUUUGAAAAAAUUAGAGUGUUUAAAGCAGGCAUUUUGCUUGAAUACAUUAGCAUGGAAUAAUAAAAUAGGACGGCAUGAUUCUAUUUUGUUGGUUUCUAGGAUCACCGUAACGAUUAAUAGGGAUAGUUGGGGGCAUUAGUAUUCAAUUGUCAGAGGUGAAAUUCUUGGAUUUAUUGAAGACUAACUACUGCGAAAGCAUUUGCCAAGGAUGUUUUCAUUAAUCAAGAACGAAAGUUAGGGGAUCGAAGACGAUCAGAUACCGUCGUAGUCUUAACCAUAAACUAUGCCGACUAGGAAUCAGACGAUGUUAAUUUUUUAAUGACUCGUUUGGCACCUUACGGGAAACCAAAGUGUUUGGGUUC